rnacentral:snoRNA from 1 species
UCUCGGUGAUGAUAAUUUAAGAUGACGAGUCUGAUAAUCCAUUCUUUAAAAACCUUGAUGACAAAACGAGGCAUUUGUCUGAUGAGGU